UACGUAGGGUGCAAGCGUUGUCCGGAAUUAUUGGGCGUAAAGAGCUCGUAGGCGGUCUGUCGCGUCGGCUGUGAAAACUCGGGGCUCAACCCCGAGCCUGCAGUCGAUACGGGCAGACUAGAGUGCUGUAGGGGAGACUGGAAUUCCUGGUGUAGCGGUGAAAUGCGCAGAUAUCAGGAGGAACACCGGUGGCGAAGGCGGGACUCUGGGCCGAUACUGACGCUGAGGAGCGAAAGCGUGGGGAGCGAACAGG
rnacentral:rRNA from 1 species